AGACCCGAAACCCGGUGAUCUAGCCAUGGGCAGGUUGAAGGUUGGGUAACACUAACUGGAGGACCGAACCGACUAAUGUUGAAAAAUUAGCGGAUGACUUGUGGCUGGGGGUGAAAGGCCAAUCAAACCGGGAGAUAGCUGGUUCUCCCCGAAAGCUAUUUAGGUAGCGCCUCGUGAAUUCAUCUCCGGGGGUAGAGCACUGUUUCGGCAAGGGGGUCAUCCCGACUUACCAACCCGAUGCAAACUGCGAAUACCGGAGAAUGUUAUCACGGGAGACACACGGCGGGUGCUAACGUCCGUCGUGAAGAGGGAAACAACCCAGACCGCCAGCUAAGGUCCCAAAGUCAUGGUUAAGUGGGAAACGAUGUGGGAAGGCCCAGACAGCCAGGAUGUUGGCUUAGAAGCAGCCAUCAUUUAAAGAAAGCGUAAUAGCUCACUGGUCGAGUCGGCCUGCGCGGAAGAUGUAACGGGGCUAAACCAUGCACCGAAGCUGCGGCAGCGACACUGUGUGUUGUUGGGUAGGGGAGCGUUCUGUAAGCCUGUGAAGGUGUGCUGUGAGGCAUGCUGGAGGUAUCAGAAGUGCGAAUGCUGACAUAAGUAACGAUAAAGCGGGUGAAAAGCCCGCUCGCCGGAAGACCAAGGGUUCCUGUCCAACGUUAAUCGGGGCAGGGUGAGUCGACCCCUAAGGCGAGGCCGAAAGGCGUAGUCGAUGGGAAACAGGUUAAUAUUCCUGUACUUGGUGUUACUGCGAAGGGGGGACGGAGAAGGCUAUGUUGGCCGGGCGACGGUUGUCCCGGUUUAAGCGUGUAGGCUGGUUUUCCAGGCAAAUCCGGAAAAUCAAGGCUGAGGCGUGAUGACGAGGCACUACGGUGCUGAAGCAACAAAUGCCCUGCUUCCAGGAAAAGCCUCUAAGCAUCAGGUAACAUCAAAUCGUACCCCAAACCGACACAGGUGGUCAGGUAGAGAAUACCAAGGCGCUUGAGAGAACUCGGGUGAAGGAACUAGGCAAAAUGGUGCCGUAACUUCGGGAGAAGGCACGCUGAUAUGUAGGUGAAGUCCCUCGCGGAUGGAGCUGAAAUCAGUCGAAGAUACCAGCUGGCUGCAACUGUUUAUUAAAAACACAGCACUGUGCAAACACGAAAGUGGACGUAUACGGUGUGACGCCUGCCCGGUGCCGGAAGGUUAAUUGAUGGGGUCAGCGCAAGCGAAGCUCUUGAUCGAAGCCCCGGUAAACGGCGGCCGUAACUAUAACGGUCCUAAGGUAGCGAAAUUCCUUGUCGGGUAAGUUCCGACCUGCACGAAUGGCGUAAUGAUGGCCAGGCUGUCUCCACCCGAGACUCAGUGAAAUUGAACUCGCUGUGAAGAUGCAGUGUACCCGCGGCAAGACGGAAAGACCCCGUGAACCUUUACUAUAGCUUGACACUGAACAUUGAGCCUUGAUGUGUAGGAUAGGUGGGAGGCUUUGAAGUGUGGACGCCAGUCUGCAUGGAGCCGACCUUGAAAUACCACCCUUUAAUGUUUGAUGUUCUAACGUGGACCCGUGAUCCGGGUUGCGGACAGUGUCUGGUGGGUAGUUUGACUGGGGCGGUCUCCUCCUAAAGAGUAACGGAGGAGCACGAAGGUUGGCUAAUCCUGGUCGGACAUCAGGAGGUUAGUGCAAUGGCAUAAGCCAGCUUGACUGCGAGCGUGACGGCGCGAGCAGGUGCGAAAGCAGGUCAUAGUGAUCCGGUGGUUCUGAAUGGAAGGGCCAUCGCUCAACGGAUAAAAGGUACUCCGGGGAUAACAGGCUGAUACCGCCCAAGAGUUCAUAUCGACGGCGGUGUUUGGCACCUCGAUGUCGGCUCAUCACAUCCUGGGGCUGAAGUAGGUCCCAAGGGUAUGGCUGUUCGCCAUUUAAAGUGGUACGCGAGCUGGGUUUAGAACGUCGUGAGACAGUUCGGUCCCUAUCUGCCGUGGGCGCUGGAGAACUGAGGGGGGCUGCUCCUAGUACGAGAGGACCGGAGUGGACGCAUCACUGGUGUUCGGGUUGUCAUGCCAAUGGCACUGCCCGGUAGCUAAAUGCGGAAGAGAUAAGUGCUGAAAGCAUCUAAGCACGAAACUUGCCCCGAGAUGAGU
rnacentral:rRNA from 1 species